ACUCAAAUGAAUUGACGGGGACCCGCACAACCGGUGGAGCGUGUGGUUCAAUUCGAGACAAAGCGAAAGACCUUACCAGGUCUUGACAUGAUACCGUUUUAACCGCCUGGAAACAGGUGGCUAUCCGCAAGGAUGGUAUCACAGCUGCUGCAUGGCUGUCGUCAGCUCGUGCCGUGGGGUGUUCCCUUAAGUGGGAGAACGAGCGCAACCCGUAUCCGAUGUUACAAGUGUCAUCGGAGACUGCCCUGGCUCUUGCCAGGGAGGAAGGAACGGACGACGUCAAGUCAGCACGGCGCUUAUGACCUGGGUCACACACACCCUACAAUGGCGAAUAACAAUGGGAAGCAAGCUAGUAAUGGCAAGCAAAUCUCUGAAAUUUCGCCUCAGUUCAGAUUGAGGGCUGCAACUCGCCCUCAUGAAGUCGGAAUCGGUAGUAAUCGCAGAUCAGCAGGCUGCGGUGAAUACGUUCUCGGGUCUUGCACACACCGCCCGU
rnacentral:rRNA from 1 species